ensembl:lncRNA MIR924HG MIR924 host gene
UUCCUGUGUGGAACUUGGGAUUCGAACGGCAGGCGGGAAGUGCUCUAGCAGGGGAGUCUGACCUUGUGAGGGAAUACCUGUGUCCCCCCUUUUUUCCCCUUUUUACCCAAUAAAACCCUGCCUUACUCACCCUUUAAAUCAUCUGCGAGCCUGAAUUUUCAUGGCCGUGGGACGGACAAGAACUUUAUCUUCAGCUGAACUAAGAAAAAGUCCUGCAACAUUUUUGGCGCGCAAUGUGGGGGCACCAGAAGCGGGCACCGUUGAGCUGUUGCAACUGUUCUGCUGGAGCCUUAUGUAUGUGGUUGAAACCACCUGUACUACUGGAAUGAAAGCACCUUUACAGAAGAGGCAAUGCAAGUUGUAUUCAUCACAUGUGUAGAAUGAAUUAAGAUUUAUGCCAGUUGCAAAGAAGAAUAUUGGCUCACUAUUUUUCCUCUGGGCAUGUGGAAAUGUAAAUCAGUCCAUGUUACUCACCUCGGAGAAGCAGAAGUACGAUUUACUAUUGUUGCUUGCUUACUUACUCUUAUCAAUUUCUAUGAGAGAAAGAGACCUCAAGUAAACCUCCAGCAGCCAUCUGGACUUCCAUGAAAACAGAACAAUCAGUGAGAUGCAGAGCUUGGAGGAGACAGUUUCCAUAGACUGAAGCACGUGCUGAAGCAAAGUUCACACUUGCAGGAUUAGAAGAGGUUGACCGAAAGAAGGAAGGACAUGGACAGCUAUGUUGUUGUGGAGUCCUGUUUUAUAGUCAUAACCUUGAGUCAAGUGAGUUUGUCUGGACAGACAGAGCUUGUUGCCUUUACUUAUAGGGAAGGCACCGGACACAGACAGCCUCAAGGACAUUUGUUCUAGCCUUUCAGUAUCCUUUCUCUUAAUUAUCUCACCUCAUCCAUGAAGCUGGUAUGUACGAUUUUUCCUUUCUUUCUCAAUCCUUUAAAAAAUUAAAGCUCUAAAUCUCAUUUCCACUUAGAUUUUAAUGUUGCAUUGUAACUUAAGAUAAAACCUUGCUCUGAUGUUAAAAAUACUAAAGUAAGAAGCAAUAUGGCAUAGUGCUUAUGAGCAGGACUACAUAGUUCUUUCUGAAUACAAAUCUCAGAUAAAACACUAUCUCAGUGAUCAACCAGGUUAAGCAACCUUUUUAGUGCCUCAAUUAUUCCAUUUGUAAAAUUGUAAUAAUGAUAGUACUAACCUAUAAGAUUGUGGUGAGGAUUAAGUCAGAUAAUACAAAAGAAGCAUUUAGAGUAUUUCCUGGCAUUAUCUACCAUUUAUUGAAUUUUUAUGGUUAAGAAGAAUAAGGAAAAGCAGAAGAAAAGGAAAAGAGAAAAAAUACAUAAGAAGAAGGAAGAGUGGUAAGCUCUAGUAAAUUACAACAAACGGUAACGUAGAAAACAUUUGUUAGCCCUUAAUAUAGGCCAGGCACUGUGUUCAAUGCUUAAACCUCAUUACUGUUCUUUGAAGUGGAUAACAUUAUUCCUUCCAUUUUAAAGAAAGGAAUACUAAAGACAACUUUGUCAAUAUUAUUCAUGUAAUAAAUGACAGAAUUUGACCAAGACAAUAGAGAAUGAACUCUUAAUCACUAUAUUGUUUUAUUUUUUGAAAAUAGAUUUUAAGUUCUUAUUAAAUGUUAAUGACUCACAUCAAAAUAAAGCCAAUCAAAAUUGACAGCAA